rnacentral:lncRNA from 1 species
UAGCUGGCGGAAGGAGCCGGUGGCUUUUCGGCGCCCGGUAGUGACCGGCAGUCCCCGGGUAGCCAGGGUGUCUGGGUGUUGGGACCGCUUAGUCGCGAGACCCCAGCAAAGCUCUUGGCGUCUCUGAGCCUCAGCUUUUGCUUCUGUAGAAUAGGGUGUACUCAUCGUACAUUUCAUGGGAAUACCUAACGCAGUCAUUUGGAUGGUCCUGUGAGGUAGAAAACAUUGUCCAACGUUCUACGCGAGGAAACGUGGCUGGGCCACAGGACUGGACUCCCCAGUCCCGCUUUUGCCUGAAGACUUCGAGGGACGCAGUUGGAGCGCAAGGCUCCUGCUUGGCGGCAACAGCACCUGGGCAGACCAUGCCAUUUCCCCUCCUGAACUCGGG